rnacentral:rRNA from 1 species
GACGAACGCUGGCGGCGUGCCUAAUACAUGCAAGUAGGACGCAGUUGCGAACGGGUGAGUAACGCGUAGGUAACUACCUAUUAGAGGGGGGUAACUAUUGGAAACGAUAGCUAAUACCGCAUACUAGUAGAUGGACCUGCGGUGUAUUAGCUAGUAGGUAGGGUAAUGGCCUACCUAGGCAACGCUACAUAGCCGACCCGGGAGGGGGAUCGGCCAAAACGGGACUGGGACACGGCCCAAACUCCUACCGGAGGCAGCCGUAGGGAAACCUCGGCAAUGGGGCGAAACCUGACCGAGCAACGCCGCGUGAGUGAAGAAGGUUUUCGGAUCGUAAAGCUCUGUUGUUAAGGAAGCGGUACUUAACCAGAAAGGGACGGCUAACUACGUGCCAGCAGCCGCGGUAAUAC